rnacentral:rRNA from 1 species
UAGUUGGGCAUAGCCAGCCGAAAGGUUGGGUAAUUCCCGAUGGUCCCGCAAGGGUAAAGAUUUAUCGCUUUGGGAGCGGCCUGCGUCGUAUCAGCUUGUUGGUAGGGUAAUGGCCUACCAAGGCUUUGACGCGUAGGGGAGGUGAGAGCCUGACCCCCACCGAUGGAACUGAGAUACGGUCCAUACUCCUACGGGAGGCUGCAGCCGAGAAUAUUCCGCAAUGGGCGAAAGCCUGACGGAGCGACGCCGCGUGAAGGAUGAAGGCCCUCGGGUCGUAAACUUCUUUUAUAAGGGAGGAAUCAUUGACGUUACCUUAUGAAUAAGAGGCUCCCAAUUCCGUGCCAGCAGGAGCGGUCAUACGGAUGCCUCGAGCGUUACCCGGAAUCACUGGGCGUAAAGGGUGUGCAGGUGGUGGUAUUAGUCUCUUGUUAAAGACCGGGGCUCAACCUCGGAUAUGCGAGGGAAACGGUACCACUAGAGGGUGAGAGAGGUGUACGGAACUCAUGGUGUAGGGGUGAAAUCCGUUGAUAUCAUGGGGAACACCAAAGGCGAAGGCAGUACACUGGCUCAUUCCUGACACUAAUACACGAAAGCGUGGGUAACGAAUGGGAUUAGAUACCCCAGUAGUCCACGCCCUAAACGAUCCUAACUAGCCUUGGGGGAGUAUCGACCCUUUCCGAGGCGAAGCCAACGCGUUAAGUUAGGCGCCUGGGUAGUACGAGCGCAAGCUUAAAACUCAAAGGAAUUGACGG